GCCGAACCGUGCGAACGUUAUUCGGAAUCACUGGGCUUAAAGCGCGUGUAGGCGGGGCGGCACGUCGGCCGCUGAAAUCCCCCGGCUCAACCGGGGAAGUGGCGCCGAUACGACCGGCCUGGAGGGGGGUAGGGGGAGCCGGAACUUCCGGUGGAGCGGUGAAAUGCGUUGAGAUCGGAAGGAACGCCCGUGGCGAAAGCGGGCUCCUGGACCCCACCUGACGCUGAGACGCGAAAGCCAGGGGAGCGAACGGG
rnacentral:rRNA from 1 species